AUUGAACGCUGGCGGCAUGCCUUACACAUGCAAGUCGAACGGCAGCGGACCUUCGGGUGCCGGCGAGUGGCGAACGGGUGAGUAAUAUAUCGGAACGUACCUCUCAGUGGGGGAUAACGUAGCGAAAGUUACGCUAAUACCGCAUAUUCUGUGAGCAGGAAAGCAGGGGAUCGCAAGACCUUGCGCUGAUUGAGCGGCCGAUAUCAGAUUAGCUAGUUGGUGAGGUAAAGGCUCACCAAGGCGACGAUCUGUAGCGGGUCUGAGAGGAUGAUCCGCCACACUGGAACUGAGACACGGUCCAGACUCCUACGGGAGGCAGCAGUGGGGAAUUUUGGACAAUGGGGGCAACCCUGAUCCAGCCAUUCCGCGUGAGUGAAGAAGGCCUUCGGUUGUAAGACUCUUUCUAGCAGGAACGAAACGGUAGGU
rnacentral:rRNA from 1 species